rnacentral:rRNA from 2 species
CGGGGGCGCUACCUGCAGUCGAGCGGUAGAGAGAAGCUUGCUUCUCUUGAGAGCGGCGGACGGGUGAGUAAUGCCUAGGAAUCUGCCUGGUAGUGGGGGAUAACGUUCGGAAACGGACGCUAAUACCGCAUACGUCCUACGGGAGAAAGCAGGGGACCUUCGGGCCUUGCGCUAUCAGAUGAGCCUAGGUCGGAUUAGCUAGUUGGUGAGGUAAUGGCUCACCAAGGCGACGAUCCGUAACUGGUCUGAGAGGAUGAUCAGUCACACUGGAACUGAGACACGGUCCAGACUCCUACGGGAGGCAGCAGUGGGGAAUAUUGGACAAUGGGCGAAAGCCUGAUCCAGCCAUGCCGCGUGUGUGAAGAAGGUCUUCGGAUUGUAAAGCACUUUAAGUUGGGAGGAAGGGCAGUUACCUAAUACGUGAUUGUUUUGACGUUACCGACAGAAUAAGCACCGGCUAACUCUGUGCCAGCAGCCGCGGUAAUACAGAGGGUGCAAGCGUUAAUCGGAAUUACUGGGCGUAAAGCGCGCGUAGGUGGUUAGUUAAGUUGGAUGUGAAAUCCCCGGGCUCAACCUGGGAACUGCAUUCAAAACUGACUGACUAGAGUAUGGUAGAGGGUGGUGGAAUUUCCUGUGUAGCGGUGAAAUGCGUAGAUAUAGGAAGGAACACCAGUGGCGAAGGCGACCACCUGGACUGAUACUGACACUGAGGUGCGAAAGCGUGGGGAGCAAACAGGAUUAGAUACCCUGGUAGUCCACGCCGUAAACGAUGUCAACUAGCCGUUGGGAGCCUUGAGCUCUUAGUGGCGCAGCUAACGCAUUAAGUUGACCGCCUGGGGAGUACGGCCGCAAGGUUAAAACUCAAAUGAAUUGACGGGAGCCCGCACAAGCGGUGGAGCAUGUGGUUAAUUCGAAGCACGCGAAGACCUUACCAGGCCUUGACACCAAU